rnacentral:rRNA from 1 species
CAGUAGCCGCGGUAAUACGGAGGGUGCAAGCGUUAAUCGGAAUUACUGGGCGUAAAGCGCACGCAGGCGGUCUGACAAGUCAGAUGUGAAAUCCCCGGGCUUAACCUGGGAACUGCAUUUGAAACUGUCAGGCUGGAGUCUUGUAGAGGGGGGUGGAAUUCCAGGUGUAGCGGUGAAAUGCGUAGAGAUCUGGAGGAAUACCGGUGGCGAAGGCGGCCCCCUGGACAAAGACUGACGCUCAGGUGCGAAAGCGUGGGGAGCAAACAGGAUUAGAGACCCGAGUAGUCCCUGUCUCUUAUAU